GCCAAUGUAGCUCAGCGGUAGAGCGUUCGUUUCAUAAGCGAAAAGUCGAAGGUCCGACUCCUUCCAUUGGCA
rnacentral:tRNA from 1 species